UGGAAGACGAUGAUUGAGAAGUAGACAGAAAAGAAGGUCAAGCGUCUUAGAACUGAUAACGGGUUAGAAUUUUGCACUCGUGAGUUCGAUGAAUUCUGCAGUAAUGAAGAUAUAGAGAGACACCGCACUUGUACAAGGACACUACAACAGAGUGGUAUUGCAGAACGCAUGAAUAGAACGCUUUAUGACAAAGCACGGAGCAUGCUCUCACAUUCAGGAUUGAGAAAGGAUUUCUGGGCUGAAACAAUUAAUACAGUCUGUUUCUUAGUUAAUAGAUCUCCAUCUACA
rnacentral:misc_RNA from 1 species